UACGAAGGGGGCGAGCGUUGUUCGGAUUUACUGGGCGUAAAGGGCGCGCAGGCGGCCAGUUCAAGUCAGGCGUGAAAGCCCCGGGCUUAACCUGGGAGGUGCGUCUGGGACUGGUGGCUAGAGGAUCGGGAGAGGAGAGUGGAAUUCCCAGUGGUAGAGGUGAAAUUCGUAGAUAUUGGGGAAGAACACCGGUGGCGAAGGCGGCUCUCUGGACCGAUACGUGACGCUGAGGCGCGAAAGCGUGGGGAGCAAACAGG
rnacentral:rRNA from 1 species